GCUGGUUUAGCUCAGUGGUAGAGCUUUCGCAUUGUACGCGGAAAGACGAUGGUUCGAUUCCAUUCAGCCAGCACCA
rnacentral:tRNA from 4 species